GCUGUUUUGUGUGAGAAUGCUGUAUUAUCAGAGUUCCUUCAUCAGCUGGCUUACCUUUGAAGCCUAACUUGUGGUUAGCCAGAACAUUCCCAAAAGGCAUCUCCAAAGAGUGGAAGGAAGAAGCCUGAAUUCAAAGCAGCCAAGUACUAAAGUUGAACAGCAGACUGCUCAUGAUUGAAUCGCAGUGCACUGCAGAACUGGGAGUUAGGAUUGCUGUUUAGGGGACACUGUCAAUCCAAACGUCAGUCUGAGCCCCCAGUGGUGAGACUGAAAUGCUUUCAGAUGGUGCUCCUGCCCAGCAGCUGCCUGUCUGCCUCAUCCUUCCUCCUGCCAUGUAUAAACCUUCAGAGUGAAAAGAGCCUAAGUCAGAAGGUCAGGAGCAGAUAGAAGCAUAUGCCUGCUCUGAUGUUUGUGUCCUGCUCCCUGACAUGAUACAGUGCAAUGCCAGAAAAAAAAGCUCACCUGCUUUUUUCCCAGUUCUGCUGAAUUUACUCUUGUCUGCAAUCACAACCAUCUGGUUAGAUUGCUUUCCCAUUUUUGUCUGAGCUAAGGUGGGUGUUAAAUCCACUACAGUAUUUUUCUAAUUCUAGUCAACACAGAAGAAUGCAACUAUAUGUGAAUAGCAUCACCAGUAGGAUGAAUUGUUCUUUAAGAAGCAGUGUUUCUGACAUUUUUGAUGAGUCUAUAGUACCUAGAGAUAUUACAUGGCUACAUGUCGCUAUGUGUUCAGUGCAAGGGAUAGAGACUGUAGUGUAAUGUAAGCUAUAUUUCAUGAAUAGGCGGGUAGUAUACUUGCUGCGUAUGGUUUGAAAGUUGUGUUUUUAAGUAAAAUGACUUCCAUUUUCAAGUUCAAGUGACUUUGACAAUUAGGUUUUUGCUUUCUCUUGGUCAAGUAUUAAUGUACUGAUUCUUAACAGGUGUGUUUAGGCAAUUAUUUGGGGAGGAGGGUUAUUUUACAUGCGUCAGAAUCGGUGCAUUUCAUAACAGUGUUACAAACCAAUGGGAACAUCCAGCAUAUCUCGUCCAUUACAGCCCGAAGAGCAGGUAACAAGCAGAAAACUAUCUGAGGGCAUUUGCAAUGGCUUGUAUUGCUUUUAGCAGCAGAAGCCCUCCACAAUGGGUUUAAAACAUUCUCCUCUCUUGUCUGUUACACGCUGCUGUUUUCAGUGGAUGAGGUUGCUUGAGGAGUGUGCAGAGAUACUUGGUGAACUAACAGUCCCACUGCUUUUUGCCAUUUAAAAUUUAUGAACUAAUCACAUGCCAGUGUAAUAAAGCCAUGAUGUUACAACGCCGUGUGUUGUUACCACAAUGGAAAUAAUCUCACGCAUGGAUUUAAGUAGAUUGAAUUAAAGUAAAAGCAA